AUAAGUGGUGGGUUCAUGGUGCGGUUUCCAGAUGGCGACUGUUGGUUGAUAUCUAGGACCUUCAGCCCCGCCCAUGUGAUUUAAACCGCGACCUUUUCAGUGACGACCCGACGACCCCGUGCACGAUUGAGGCUACUCCCAGAGAGGAUACUGCGAAAAAAAGUCUUCGAAUCGGAUAUCAAAUGUAGGUUCAUCGUCUCGCUUCUUCUUACUUCGAUUAAUGUUAUGGGAAGAAAUAUGACGGAAGUUAUACGACGUCACGUUAGGAGUCUUUCUUAUCCCGAAGAAAGCGAAAUGGGGAUAUUCUUUGCUCUCGCAAUACCUUUGGAUGAUCCAAUCACGAAGUACUCGAUGUCGGUUGCCUUCUUUUUCGAGGCGAAUUAUAAGUUGCCGACGAAGGAUGAUAUCGGUUUAGAGGUCAAAGAGGGAGAAAGAAGGCGAAGAAAAAGCAUAGAUCGCACCACGAUCUAUUCCAUGUUGGAAUCAAAAUUUAAAUCAAUCGGCUAUCCGGCUCGACAGUGUCUUCUCAAAUCCAUAUGCGAGACCACACAACUGGACUGGAAACUCAAUGCUGGUGUCCUUGGAGAUCUCUUGCACAUCCUGUUCACACCAUCCUCAUCGCGUUUCGAAGUCGAUCUUCACAAGGAAUACACCGAAGCUGAAAAGGUCGAUGGUACGAGGAAAUGUUCCGAAAUUUAUUCCACUUGCAAGUACGGGAUUUACGACUACAUAACGCUCCCCUAUCAGGAUUUGUGAGAGUAGCAGCUUGCCCUCGGUCGGUCCUCUCUCUACCCUCCAGCACUCUUGGAAGCUCCUUCGACUUCUUCGUGGCGAGUGUCUCGUAGCCUGGCCAUUCUUGCAAACUGUGCAGUUAGGAUGAGAAAGUCCAAUCAAGUUGAAAACGAGCGUAAGAAGGAAUGAUCGUUUUAUGCUUUUCUCCUGUAUCCUUUUCUUCUCCCACUCUUAUACUCAUUCGUUCAUAUAGACGUAUUCUCGAACAAUAAAAAACUUGAGACGAUCUCUUAUCCUUUUUCUUCUUAAUAUCCACUAGAUCAUGAGAAACUUCGAAGAAUGCAAUCAUUUGAAUCUUAUCGAGAUCAAAUUCUUAACGAGUGAAAAAAAAAUCGAGUGUAAAAGAGUUUAUUAUACCAAAGGUAAAAUCACUAAAUAUAAAAAUUACAGAUCACGUUGUAUUAAAGAAAUAGAGUAAAUCGAGUACAGAAAAUAUGAUAAUGAUCGAUAAUUUACAAGAUUAUUUGUGAAAUAUUGAAAAUAUAUUGUAUAAGUUUAAAAUAUUCAAUUAAUCCUAAACAUAAUAAGAUAUUUUCGAAAUAAAGAGAAUGGCAUAUUUUAAUACUGUUUUUAUUGUAGAGUAUUAAAAUAAUUUAAGAAUAUCGAGAUUAUUAUGUAAGCUUUAUUCCUUUUAUUUCUCGUUGGAAAACAUAUAAAUAUAUGUAUAUUUUAAAAUAUAUUCUUAACGUGCGUAAUUAGCAAUAUUUAGCAAUGAUGAUAGAACUCAACAAUGAUAUUACAAUUGUAAGCUUCGGUCUUUUUUUUUAUUGGAUAAGAGGUGUUUGUGUUUAAAAAUAAGACAAAAAGAAUACCUUACUCGUCAAUCUAAUAGGAGUUGUUAAUAUAAAAGACGAUAUAAAAAUAUAGACGUUUAGAGUUCCUUUUUUGUUUUCUUUAUAUCCUAAAGUUAAUUUUAAAAUUAAUAGAAAUAAUAUACUUUCUUGUGCAAUGUCAUAUCGUCAGAGAAUCAUUAUUUUCACUGUAUAAAUUAGGUUAACAAUAACUUUUGAAAAUGACAUACAUGUAUAUUCAUUGUAAUAUAGCUAAUUCUCUAUAAUUCGAUUUUUUUUAUAUCUAGAAGUUAGUUAUGAAGUAUUCCAGUUAUGAAGUAAUAAUUAAAUUUGUGAACAACCAAAUGAAAUAAAACUUUAUAACAAUAUAGAUAUGAAAGUGUGUGAAUCCAAAGUUAGACUGU